rnacentral:rRNA from 1 species
CACGUAGGGGGCAAGCGUUGUCCGGAUUUAUUGGGCGUAAAGAGCUCGUAGGUGGUUCGGUAAGUCGGGUGUUAAACCCCCAGGCUCAACCUGGGGACGCCACUCGAUACUGCUGUGACUAGAGUCCGGUAGGGGAGCGUGGAAUUCCUGGUGUAGCGGUGAAAUGCGCAGAUAUCAGGAGGAACGCCAGCGGCGAAGGCGGCGCUCUGGGCCGGUACUGACACUGAGGAGCGAAAGCGUGGGUAGCAAACAGG